rnacentral:rRNA from 1 species
CAUGCAAGUCGACGGAUUUUGGAGCUUGCUCCAAAGUUAGUGGCGAACGGGUGAGUAACAUAUCGGAACAUGUCCGGAAGUGGGGGAUAACGUAGCGAAAGUUACGCUAAUACCGCAUAUGCCCUGAGGGGGAAAGGGGGGGAUCGCAAGACCUCUCGCUUUCGGAGUGGCCGAUAUCGGAUUACCUAGUAGGUGAGGUAAAGGCCCACCUAGGCGACGAUCCGUAGCUGGUCUGAGAGGACGACCAGCCACACUGGAACUGAGACACGGUCCAGACUCCUACGGGAGGCAGCAGUGGGGAAUUUUGGACAAUGGGCGCAAGCCUGAUCCACCCAUACCGCGUGAGUGAAGAAGGCCUUCGGGUCGUAAAGCUCUUUCAGCCGGAAAGAAAAUCGCACUUCUUAAUACGAAAUGUGGAUGACGGUACCGGGAAGAAGAAGCACCGGCUAACUACGUGCCAGCAGCCGCGGUAAUACGUAGGGUGCGAGCGUUAUCGGAAUUACUGGGGCGUAAAGCGUGCGCAGGGCGGGCUUUUUAAGCCAAAUGUGAAAAUCCCCCGGGCUUAACCUGGGGAACUGCAUUUGGGAACUGGAAAGGCUAAAGUGUACCAGAGGGGGGGUAAAAUUUCCCCGGUGUAGCAGUGAAAUGCGUAAAAUAUGUGGAGGAAUACCGAUGGCGAA